AUACAGAGGGUGCAAGCGUUAAUCGGAAUUACUGGGCGUAAAGCGCGCGUAGGCGGUUUGUUAAGUCGGAUGUGAAAUCCCCGGGCUCAACCUGGGAACUGCAUUCGAAACUGGCAUGCUAGAGUAUGGUAGAGGGAAGUGGAAUUCCGGGUGUAGCGGUGAAAUGCGUAGAUAUCCGGAGGAACAUCAGUGGCGAAGGCGGCUUCCUGGACCAAUACUGACGCUGAGGUGCGAAAGCGUGGGGAGCAAACAGGAUUAGAAACCCCAGUAGUCC
rnacentral:rRNA from 1 species